CUUCGUGUUCUUCAUAAUCAAACGAGGAUUUGAAGGUGUUAUUGGAAUCCGAUGGAGGCGUAUGAAUAGUCAAAACGAAGCUCUCGACGCGUAGAUUAUAGUUUAAUCAUCAAAACAAGCGCAGGUAUAACAGAUUAUUUAUUUGGAUUUUUACAAGAUUCGAAUUAUAUUAUUUCAAAGGAUGAUUUUUCGUAGAUGAUCUUGUGUGAUUGUUUUGAUGCUUCUAUGUUGUAGAGCGUGUUUUUCUCGUCGUUUUGGUAUAUCAUAUGAUGAAUUUUGACUUCGAUAACAUAGAGAAAAGUUGGUUUGAUUCUUGAAGUUGUGUUCUUGAAUGUUCUUGGAGGUUAUGAAUGUUCUUAAUUCAAAAAGAGGCGUUUUUAAUCUAGGAAUUCUGCGUUGUUUUGGUUUAUACCAUUAGGAAGAGCGUUUCAAGAGGAAUAUGUUCAUAUAAUCAGAUUUUGUGUGGGAUUCACGGUUGAACUCGCCGGAGUUUAUGAACACCGGCGGUGUUCUUGGACUUUCCGGCCAAAAUCCGGCCAAACUACGUGUUAAUUACUAAGUUUGAUUAUGGGAAUGAGUUGUUGGGUGUGUGUACUACUGAUCUGGAGUGUAUGGCGAGUGGAGGAUGCCGGGAAAUGAAUUUCCGGCGAGUUAGUGUGGUGGCCGGCAGCUUAUUGCUGUUUGGUCACCGAAGUUUUGAAGAUGAUGAAGUUUUUGUUCUCAGGUUUUGAAAGUUAUGAAUUACC
rnacentral:lncRNA from 1 species